rnacentral:tRNA from 1 species
AAGAAGGAUCUAGCCAGAGCCGCUAACUCAUGGACCCUAGGAUUAAACUCUUAGACUUCUUG